rnacentral:lncRNA from 1 species
CCUGCCAGUGUCUCCGCCGGUUGAAAGCGCGUGUCUGCGUCGGGUUCUGUUGGAGUGCGUUCGGUGUGCCGUGGGUCCGCGCUGCUUCCACCCAACUUCCUGUUAGUUUCUCUCCUGUCACAAUGGCAUGAUCUCGGCUCACUGCGACCUCUGCUUCCUGGGUUCAAGGAUUCUCCUGCCUCAGCCUCCCAAGUAGCUGGGAUUAC